rnacentral:rRNA from 1 species
UACGUAGGGGGCAAGCGUUGUCCGGAUUUAUUGGGCGUAAAGAGCGUGUAGGCGGCUUUACAGGUCCGUUGUGAAAACUCGAGGCUCAACCUCGAGACGCCGGUGGAAACCGUAAAGCUAGAGUCCGGAAGAGGAGAGUGGAAUUCCUGGUGUAGCGGUGAAAUGCGCAGAUAUCAGGAGGAACACCAGUGGCGAAGGCGGUGCUCUGGGCCGGAACUGACGCUGAGGAGCGAAAGCGUGGGGAGCAAACAGG